AGAGUUUGAUCCUGGCUCAGGAUGAACGCUGGCGGCAUGCCUAAUACAUGCAAGUCGAACGAAGUUUCGAGGAAGCUUGCUUCCAAAGAGACUUAGUGGCGAACGGGUGAGUAACACGUAGGUAACCUGCCCAUGUGUCCGGGAUAACUGCUGGAAACGGUAGCUAAAACCGGAUAGGUAUACAGAGCGCAUGCUCAGUAUAUUAAAGCGCCCAUCAAGGCGUGAACAUGGAUGGACCUGCGGCGCAUUAGCUAGUUGGUGAGGUAACGGCCCACCAAGGCGAUGAUGCGUAGCCGGCCUGAGAGGGUAAACGGCCACAUUGGGACUGAGACACGGCCCAAACUCCUACGGGAGGCAGCAGUAGGGAAUUUUCGUCAAUGGGGGAAACCCUGAACGAGCAAUGCCGCGUGAGUGAAGAAGGUCUUCGGAUCGUAAAGCUCUGUUGUAAGUGAAGAACGGCUCAUAGAGGAAAUGCUAUGGGAGUGACGGUAGCUUACCAGAAAGCCACGGCUAACUACGUGCCAGCAGCCGCGGUAAUACGUAGGUGGCAAGCGUUAUCCGGAAUUAUUGGGCGUAAAGAGGGAGCAGGCGGCAGCAAGGGUCUGUGGUGAAAGCCUGAAGCUUAACUUCAGUAAGCCAUAGAAACCAGGCAGCUAGAGUGCAGGAGAGGAUCGUGGAAUUCCAUGUGUAGCGGUGAAAUGCGUAGAUAUAUGGAGGAACACCAGUGGCGAAGGCGACGAUCUGGCCUGCAACUGACGCUCAGUCCCGAAAGCGUGGGGAGCAAAUAGGAUUAGAUACCCUAGUAGUCCACGCCGUAAACGAUGAGAACUAAGUGUUGGAGGAAUUCAGUGCUGCAGUUAACGCAAUAAGUUCUCCGCCUGGGGAGUAUGCACGCAAGUGUGAAACUCAAAGGAAUUGACGGGGGCCCGCACAAGCGGUGGAGUAUGUGGUUUAAUUCGAAGCAACGCGAAGAACCUUACCAGGCCUUGACAUGGAAACAAAUACCCUAGAGAUAGGGGGAUAAUUAUGGAUCACACAGGUGGUGCAUGGUUGUCGUCAGCUCGUGUCGUGAGAUGUUGGGUUAAGUCC
rnacentral:rRNA from 1 species